GCCAGUGUUGUGCAGUGGUUUGGGCAUUGACUACGACUCUGGAGACCAGGGUUCGAAUCCCAGCUUAGCCA